rnacentral:rRNA from 1 species
UACGAAGGGGGCUAGCGUUGCUCGGAAUUACUGGGCGUAAAGGGAGCGUAGGCGGAUAGUUUAGUCAGAGGUGAAAGCCCAGGGCUCAACUUUGGAAUUGCCUUUGAUACUGGCUAUCUUGAGUGUGGGAGAGGUAUGUGGAACUCCGAGUGUAGAGGUGAAAUUCGUAGAUAUUCGGAAGAACACCAGUGGCGAAGGCGACAUACUGGCCCAUUACUGACGCUGAGGCUCGAAAGCGUGGGGAGCAAACAGG